rnacentral:rRNA from 1 species
GACGAACGCUGGCGGCGCGCCUAACACAUGCAAGUCGAACGAGCGAGAGAGAGCUUGCUUUCUUGAGCGAGUGGCGAACGGGUGAGUAACGCGUGAGGAACCUGCCUCAAAGAGGGGGGCAACAGUUGGAAACGACUGCUAAUACCGCAUAAGCCCACGACCCGGCAUCGGGUUGAGGGAAAAGGAGCAAUCCGCUUUGAGAUGGCCUCGCGUCCGAUUAGCUAGUUGGUGAGGUAACGGCCCACCAAGGCGACGAUCGGUAGCCGGACUGAGAGGUUGAACGGCCACAGUGGGACUGAGACACGGCCCAGACUCCUACGGGAGGCAGCAGUGGGGAAUAUUGCACAAUGGGGGAAAUCCUGAUGCAGCGACGCCGCGUGGAGGAAGAAGGUCUUCGGAUUGUAAACUCCUGUUGUUGAGGAAGAUAAUGACGGUACUCAACAAGGAAGUGACGGCUAACUACGUG